UAUCUGCGGCGCAGGGACGGCGCAUCGCGCCUCCGUGGCCCUGCCGGCGCGGGGGGGAGCGGGACGGCGGCGUGCAUCGGGGCGAUUACGGUAUCAGCGCGGCCCAGGCGGAGGCCGGAGGAUGCACGCUGCCCGCACGCCUCUCCGGGAUGAGAACUCUGCCAGAGACCACGGGGAGCGCUGCGCUGGCUCCCCGGGACUCCCCCACCUGAGGUCGCCUCCCUUUGCGCCAAGGUGAUGUCCCCGCGCCUGCCUCCCACCUCACAGACCGCACCUACAUCCCGCACCGAGCAGGACGGCUCCCGGCCCAGCGCCGUCACCGGACGCUCCCACUCCCGGUUUGGCCAAGGCCCAGCUUAACCCGGCCUGCCUCGCCUCGCCAGUGGCAGAAGAGCCCGAACGCAGCACGCUGCCAUGAGCGGUGGCAUCCUUCACCAGAGGAUGAGCCAUAAGCCAGAGCAGGUCCCUAGGCUUAACAGUUCAGGUUUUGCGAAUUCAGAGGGUUUGUUUUGAUGGGAUUCACCAAAGAGGGCUGGGUUAUCAUGGGGAACAGGGAGGGGAGGCAGCGAAGCAGCAGCCCAGCCUGCCCACCACAUGCCCAGCCAGCCAGCAGAAUGGCAGCACCAGGUUGCCAAGUGAACUCUGCACGCUUGGGUUUUAAAGUUUUAGAAAGGUUUCUCCUUAGGAAUCGACACUUAUUUGUUAAGGAAACAUGUUUCCAUUGCGCGUCUGUGGAGGAGCACCGUGAAGGCUGGGAUGAGGACAAUGAUGGCACGCUGGCAUGAGACAGGCAUUGUUCAGUGCAGAACUCCUUCCAAAAUCAUUUGUCCAGGAGAGCAGGUUUUUUCCACAAGAAAAGAAAGAAAGGGAAUUUGACACAUAAUACAAAGUGAAAACCAGAACCUAGAUGGGGGAAGGGCGUGUGUGUGUGAAAAUCGUGUCACCGCAAUGAAUGUCAGAUAAAAAGGGGUCUGUCACAAAUCCUCCACUAAUCCAAUAAUGCGAAAACCUCUUGGUAUCACUGAGACAUAGCACAAGCCAGAGGAUCACCUAUGACAGUACAUUGACAUGAAAGUGAUGGUAACUGAGAAGUCUACCCUGAAACAUACCCCUAAAAGACUGUGCUUACAGUGAACCUUUUUCACGAAACCUAGCUACAGCCACCAGUGAAGCCUAGGACUUAAACGGAGCACUGCAUUUUUAUUCAGUACCUUUGUUAAUGCAGCAGUAUCCUGCUUUACAGCUACAAGUACAUGACAGCCAUACAGCAAUUUAUUUUACUCACAGCCCAACCAUCACCGUCUGUACACAAAACACAUUUACAAUAAAAUCACUAUGGAUUUCAUUAAGAGAAAGCCUACUCGAAUUUCAUUUCUUUGGAUCUAAUCUAUAAUUAGUGUGGACAGACAGGUGCAAACCCUUCUCCUCUACAGAUGGCUACUGGAAAUGGUGCAAAAUAGCUCCUUCUGUUUAAACAACACACAGAUAACCUGCUCUGCUCUUAUCACUUACAAUUACCUCCUUUAUACUGAACUAAUGUUUACUUUAAUAAAACGUCCACUGUUCUCUAAACGUUAUUUGGAAACUUUCCUAUCGAUGGCAGGAAAAUUAAAAAAAAAAAAAAAGGAGAUGGAAGUCAGUAUCUUUUAGAUGAAAAAUUCUUUUUUUGGUGGGGGAAGCACCUUUUAAAUGGCAGGAUAUUCUGACUUUGAUUUUACAUCUGCUGAUCAUUUUUUUGUAUCCACAAAACCACACAGUAUACUACUUCCUGAUGUAUUUAAGCUACCAUAUAUUAAACUAAUCAAGUUUAUAGUAAACAAGAACAGGAUAACUGCAAUUUUAAAGCGGUUCUUUUUAACAGGAACAUUAUGUGGAAAACCAAGACCAUUUACAUUAAAAGUUCAGGUUUUAGACUAACUCUUAGAUAUUUCACGUGAAAAAAAGGUGAAGAAAAUGUAAUCUGGAAGCCAACGGUUUAAGAAUUUACACUCUUACUACUUAAGCUAAAUUCAGUGUCAGUUUAAACUCAUUAUAGGUUGCUAUUAAAGGCUGUAUGAAAAAGAGCAGGCUGCUACUAAAUACAUGGAUCAAAGUUUUUUUAAUGUAUUCAGAUCAAAAGUGAUUUUCCUUUUACAUUUCUUUAGCCAAGCCAUGAGAAAUAACCCCUUCACAACACCAAAUUCAUGUUUUAUUUCAGCUGAUAAGGCUUCAUCUUGAUCUCUGCAUGACAACUGAAGUUUAUACAAAACAAAGAACAAGAUUCCCACCCCCAAAAAAAAAAAAACAAACUGAAGCUCCUGCAGUAGCAACAUACUAAUAUCCUUAUUCGAUUAGCUAAAGAUUUAACAGUAAUGGACUGUGGCAAGUGGAUUUGAAAGAUGAAAAUGACAAUUGCAUGCCCUUUCUCCCAUCACCCCCAACGCGAAUACUGCAGAUGCCUAUUUCACCUAAAGUGUCUGGCAACAGGAGUUUUCAGUCUGCACAGUACCUCAGUGAAGUGAGCUUCGCAUUCAACGCCUGUCAUCUGAAGUUCAUGUCAGGGAAGUAAGAAACAGGAUUUGACAGGGAAGAAUGUCCUGAACUGACUAGCCACUGACCAGCAC